CUUUGUAGUUUUACUAAUUUUAGUAUGCUCUUUCUAGCUGGGGUGAUUUAUUUGCAUCUCUUUGCUCAGUUUUAAAAUUAGUCUAUAAUGGGAAUUGUCUAUUGAAACAGACUUGCUGUGGGAUAGGGCGCUUUUUAUUAUAACUGACUCUGAAUAACUAUUAAUCAUGUACCAUGAAUUUUAGAGAAAUCAAAAUAUGGCAAAGUGCGUGUGUGGGGGGGGGGGGGGAUAAUUAGAUUUUAUCCCCCAACCCCAAAAAGUGCAUGUGUGGGGUUGGGGUGCAUCCGCACCAGUCCUCCUAAGACUGACGCCCUCCCAUGCAAAGCAACCAGGGGAAAGUGUAGACACUGUGAAAGAAUUUCUGAAAUUCUUGCUCAACGUCUCCUUUGUUCUUAAUCAAACUAAAUGUUUAAUCACCGCAAGGAAUUAAAUCAUGAAACAAAACGUGUUUUGUCAACUUAAACAAACUUAUUUCUCAAGCAUUGUAGUAAAACCAAGCUGUUUAAAUAUGCAAUUGCGUCAGACAUAAAUUUCAGUCUUACUACUACAGCAAAAAUCAGAUUCUUCACACACACAUCGCCUGAUCAUCAAGCAAGCAACAACUCUGGUUUGUAAGCAAGAGAUUUUUUAAAAAAUGAAGGUUUUCGUGCUCGGAGUGUUUCUGGUUCUAUUUCUCGCCACGUCCUUCGUUCGAUGUGAUGAGGACAAUGACAAUGAUUUAGAACGUCGCUUCUUUUUCAAAGUAAGUAAAUCUCAAUUUCUAUACAAUACACAAAUGACUGCAGUCAAAAUUCCAGGUAAAAAACAGUUUAAAACAUCGCACGAGAUAUUUCAAACUUAAUGGUAUUGUCGGGUUGCGAUAAAUCGAGUACUUUCGUACCGGAGGUAACCCAAUAUUAGGGUCUGGUAUACUUCUUUGUUUUCAGCCAAAUACCACGUAGAUACGCGGAACUGCUGGUUGCUAUCAGCGUACUACACUCUUUGCUAGUGGCAUAUGCCUUUCCCAAGCCCAAGAUAUCCAACACCGUAGUUAAGUCGGUAUAUGUAAGUCUGCCAUGUCUUGGCAUAAAACAUUAUAAUGGACCUCUAGUUCUAUUAACCGUGAAUGGACUGAUGCGACUAAGAAAUACUGAAAUCGAUUACCCAAAAUCAAUCAAUAUAACGAUAAAAAUGCUUUGUUUGGUGCAUUUCCAAUACGAAUCUGAUAAAAAAAAAAAAACUAGGAGUCUCAAAUUAUGGUUUAAAUAUACGACAAUAGCCCCUAAAGGCCCAUUUCCACUCAGGAAUAUUUUCCGCGGAAAGAAAAUUUUGUGAAAUGUGAUUGGCUGACACAAAUUUUCCGUCGGAAAAAAAUUUUGAAGUCGAAAAUUUUCAACUUUUAACAAUGAUAUUUUCCGAAAAUGUUUUAUCCGUGGAAAUUUUUCUUGAGUGGAAAUGGGUCUUAAGAUGUAAAGAUUAUGAAAUUAAAAUUAAGAAUUAAUUACCCUACCUGACUAAAACGAUAUUUUCCCCCUCAUCGUUUUCAUUUUAGAAACGUUGUACAAGCCACCAAGAGUGUUUUGAACAUCAAUAUUGUUGCCGAGGGCAAGGCUGGUACAGAUACUGUACAAAUCUGCCUAGAUGUUCCAGAUACCGUCGAUGUCCUCAUGGUGCUGUCUGCAAAAGGUAAACAAAGU